rnacentral:misc_RNA from 1 species
AAGACUAUAGACCUGCGGAGUACCUGCGGAAGGAUCAUUACCGAGUUUACAACUCCCAAACCCAAUGUGAACCAUACCAAACUGUUGCCUCGGCGGGGUCACGCCCCGGGUGCGUCGCAGCCCCGGAACCAGGCGCCCGCCGGAGGGACCAACCAAACUCUUUCUGUAGUCCCCUCGCGGACGUUAUUUCUUACAGCUCUGAGCAAAAAUUCAAAAUGAAUCAAAACUUUUAGCAAUGGA